rnacentral:rRNA from 1 species
AUACGUAGGGGGCGAGCGUUGUCCGGAAUGAUUGGGCGUAAAGGGCGCGUAGGCGGCCCGGUAAGUCUGGAGUGAAAGUCCUGUUUUUAAGAUGGGAAUUGCUUUGGAUACUGUCGGGCUUGAGUGCAGGAGAGGUAAGUGGAAUUCCCAGUGUAGCGGUGAAAUGCGUAGAGAUUGGGAGGAACACCAGUGGCGAAGGCGGCUUACUGGACUGGAACUGACGCUGAGGUGCGAAAGCGUGGGGAGCAAAUAGGAUAAGAUACCCUGGUAGUCCACACUGUAAACGAUGAAUGCUAGGUGUAGGGGGUAUCGACCCCUUCUGUGCCGCAGUCAACACAAUAAGCAUUCCGCCUGGGGAGUACGGCCGCAAGGUUGAAACUCAAAUGAAUUGACGGGG